UCUCAUAGCCAUACCACCCUGAGCAUGCUCAGUCAGUACUUGGAUGGGAUAUCACCUGAAAAUACCAGAUGCUGUAGAC
ensembl:rRNA 5S_rRNA 5S ribosomal RNA